GGCCCUGGCUGGUGUCGGCCGAGUCUGACUCACCAGCGCUGAAGUACCUUAGUCACCGACACAGCCUGAAUCGCACAUCCAGCUCUGGCACGCAGGAACAGCACCAGCUCCUUCAGCACCAGCCUGCUGAUCAAAGUUUCGCUGUGACCGGACGGGCAGAAACGCUGUAAAAUCCCCUGGAAUAAAGUGGUUUUUUUGCGCGGUCCUGCUGUAAUUGACGUGUUUGGAAACAGCAGCUCUCGCGUCUAAAUAAGCGGCGAGUCCUGUGAAGCUGCUCGGUGUCUGAUUGACCUGCAGUCCGAGGAGGAGCCGGUGGGAGCGAGACGCUCGGGAAUUACGGGCUCGUUAACUUUACACUUCCACCCGGCGGUGUUCAGUCCUGAUGAGCGGUUAUAGCGAGCACGUGAUAAAGUGGCACGUCACCGUGUUCGUGUUGUCUGCUGUAUUAAAUCGUGCAUUUUUUCCCCAUUAAACUCGUUCAUGAAA